GUAAAGAGUUUAUCAUGGAAAUGUCAUAACUCAGCCUUUCCUUUGUUGGCAUUAGCAUCCUGCAAGUCCCAAGUUGCUUGAGUAGAUCUACUUGCUGCACAGCUGGCUGACAUCUACCAGCAUUUAUUGACGUCCUCGCUGAGAACUGACAUGAACAGCGCAGCCUGAGACGCAGACAGCUCUGCAAGCAGGGCCGGCUCCUCAGGGUAAUAAAUGACCCCGGCACCAUGGGUGAACAGGAGCUUUGGGGGCUGCUCAGACAGYGCUGCGCUUCCUGCAGUGGCACCAGAACAGCAGUGCAGUUUAUAACAGAGAAAAGAAGAAGAGGAAAGAGCAA